rnacentral:rRNA from 1 species
CAAGGAUUCCCCUAGUAACGGCGAGUGAAGAGGGAAGAGCCCAAGAUUGAAAGCUGGCGUCUUCGGCGUCCGCAUUGUAAUCUCAAGAAGUGUUUUCCGCUUCGGACCAUGCCUAAGUCCCUUGGAAAAGGGCAUCAUAGAGGGUGAUAAUCCCGUACAUGGCAUGGAGCGCCCGAAGCUUUGUGAUACGCUUUCUAAGAGUCGAGUUGUUUGGGAAUGCAGCUCAAAAUGGGUGGUAAAUGCCAUCUAAGGCUAAAUAUUGGGGAGAGACCGAUAGCGAACAAGUACAGUGAUGGAAAGAUGAAAAGAACUUUGAAAAGAGAGUUAAACAGUACGUGAAAUUGCCAAAAGGGAAGGGUAGGAGGUCAGAGAUGCGUCUUGGGAUUCAGCCUUGCUUUUGCUUGGUGUUUUUCCCAAGUUGCAGGCCAACGUCGGUUUUGGGCACUGGAGAAGGGUGGAAGGAACGUGGCACCUCUCGGGGUGUUUUAUAGCCUUCCACUGGAUACAGCGACCGAGACCGAGGACAGCAGCGUACUCGCAAGAGCGGGCCUUCGGGCACCUUUACGCUUAGGGCGUUGGCAUAAUGGCCCUCUACCACCCGUCUUGA